ACCGCGUGAGUGAAGAAGGGUUUCGGCUCGUAAAACUCUGUUGUUGGAGAAGAACGUGCGUAAGAGUAACUGUUUACGCAGUGACGGUAUCCAACCAGAAAGUCACGGCUAACUACGUGCCAGCAGCCGCGGUAAUACGUAGGUGGCAAGCGUUAUCCGGAUUUAUUGGGCGUAAAGCGAGCGCAGGCGGUUGCUUAGGUCUGAUGUGAAAGCCUUCGGCUUAACCGAAGAAGUGCAUCGGAAACCGGGCGACUUGA
rnacentral:rRNA from 1 species